GAGUUUGAUCAUGGCUCAGAUUGAACGCUGGCGGCAGGCCUAACACAUGCAAGUCGAGCGGUAGAGAGAAGCUUGCUUCUCUUGAGAGCGGCGGACGGGUGAGUAAUGCCUAGGAAUCUGCCUGGUAGUGGGGGAUAACGUUCGGAAACGGACGCUAAUACCGCAUACGUCCUACGGGAGAAAGCAGGGGACCUUCGGGCCUUGCGCUAUCAGAUGAGCCUAGGUCGGAUUAGCUAGUUGGUGAGGUAAUGGCUCACCAAGGCGACGAUCCGUAACUGGUCUGAGAGGAUGAUCAGUCACACUGGAACUGAGACACGGUCCAGACUCCUACGGGAGGCAGCAGUGGGGGAAUAUUGGACAAUGGGCGAAAGCCUGAUCCAGCCAUGCCGCGUGUGUGAAGAAGGUCUUCGGAUUGUAAAGCACUUUAAGUUGGGAGGAAGGGCAGUUACCUAAUACGUGAUUGUUUUGACGUUACCGACAGAAUAAGCACCGGCUAACUCUGUGCCAG
rnacentral:rRNA from 1 species